rnacentral:rRNA from 1 species
GAUCAUGGCUCAGGACGAACGCUGGCGGCGUGCUUAACACAUGCAAGUCGAACGAGAAUCUGCUGAAAGAGUCUUCGGACAAUGGAUGUAGAGGAAAGUGGCGGACGGGUGAAUAACGCGUGGGGAACCUGCCUUGAAGAGGGGGGACAACAGUUGGAAACGACUGCUAGUACCGCAUGAUGCAUAAGGGUCGCAUGAUUCUUAUGCCAAAGAUUUAUCG